rnacentral:rRNA from 1 species
AUCUAAGGAAGGCAGCAGGCGCGUAAAUUACCCAAUCCUAAUUCAGGGAGGUAGUGACAAGAAAUAACGGACUGAGGCCUACGCUUCAGGAUUGCAAUGAGUUGAAUUUAAACCCCUUGACGAGGAUCAAUUGGAGGGCAAGUCUGGUGCCAGCAGCCGCGGUAAUUCCAGCUCCAAUAGCGUAUAUUAAAGUUGUUGCAGUUAAAAAGCUCGUAGUUGGAUUUCUGAGAGAGUGCCAAUGUCCGCCGUGUGCGAGUGCAGCGGCGCUCUCUCAUCCUUCUGUUAACGUUUCUUGGUAUUAACUUACUGGUUUCGGGCUCAGA